GGCAUCUUACACAUGCAGUCGAACGAUGAUCCCCAGCUUGCUGGGGGGAUUAGUGGCGAACGGGUGAGUAACACGUGAGUAACCUGCCCUUGACUCUGGGAUAAGCCUGGGAAACUGGGUCUAAUACUGGAUACGACCUUCUGGCGCAUGCCAUGUGGGUGGAAAGCUUUUGUGGUUUUGGAUGGACUCGCGGCCUAUCAGCUUGUUGGUGGGGUAAUGGCCUACCAAGGCGACGACGGGUAGCCGGCCUGAGAGGGUGGACGGCCACACUGGGACUGAGACACGGCCCAGACUCCUACGGGAGGCAGCAGUGGGGAAUAUUGCACAAUGGGCGCAAGCCUGAUGCAGCGACGCCGCGUGAGGGAUGAAGGCCUUCGGGUUGUAAACCUCUUUCAGUAGGGAAGAAGCGAAAGUGACGGUACCUGCAGAAGAAGCGCCGGCUAACUACGUGCCAGCAGCCGCGGUAAUACGUAGGGCGCAAGCGUUAUCCGGAAUUAUUGGGCGUAAAGAGCUCGUAGGCGGUUUGUCGCGUCUGCCGUGAAAGUCCGGGGCUUAACUCCGGAUCUGCGGUGGGUACGGGCAGACUUGAGUGAUGUAGGGGAGACUGGAAUUCCUGGUGUAGCGGUGAAAUGCGCAGAUAUCAGGAGGAACACCGAUGGCGAAGGCAGGUCUCUGGGCAUUAACUGACGCUGAGGAGCGAAAGCAUGGGGAGCGAACAGGAUUAGAUACCCUGGUAGUCCAUGCCGUAAACGUUGGGCACUAGGUGUGGGGGACAUUCCACGUUUUCCGCGCCGUAGCUACGCAUUAAGUGCCCCGCCUGGGGAGUACGGCCGCAAGGCUAAAACUCAAAGGAAUUGACGGGGGCCCGCACAAGCGGCGGAGCAUGCGGAUUAAUUCGAUGCAACGCGAAGAACCUUACCAAAGGCUUGACAUGAACCCGGAACGGCGCAGAGAUGUGUCGGCCACUUUGUGGGCCGGGUUUACAGGUGGUGCAUGGGUUGUCGUCAGCUCGUGUCGUGAGAUGUUGGGUUAAGUCCCCGCAACGAGCGCAACCCUCG
rnacentral:rRNA from 1 species